GUCACUUCAUAAUUUUCCGUACAUUUUAAAAUUUUUUUGCCAAAUUUUAUCAUUGGUUUUGAGUGCAAUUGACUAAGAAUAAGAAUCUUAUCAUUAUCUUCCAGUGAUGGAUCGGCUCUUUUAUUGAAAUCCUCCUAUGGCUUGAAGAUUACGCUUUAUUUGAUGGAACGGCUAUUUUGUUGAAAUCCUCCUGGCAUGAGUUAAAGAUUGUGCUUUAUUUUGCUGAUCAUCAGAAAGUGGGGCAUUGGGAAGCACUACCAUCUGGACCAAUCCUCAUCCUCCGCGAUGCAGAUUCUUUAUCAUCAUGGUUGGCCCUCCUUCUACAUCCUGAUGAACUACUGUUUUUACUUGCGGAUGUAGAGCUGGUAUUGGUCUUGUGCGAUGCGAUGGAUAUUGUCGAGUUCUGCGAAUCGGACUUUAGAAGGAACUUCGGAAGUCUUAUAAAAUCCAAAGACCUGUUUGGAAACUCUGUUGCCCAAUUCCCCCCAGUGCAAUUGUAAAACUGCAGAAACGCGACGAACGUCUUUCCAUUUAGUAGCGAAAACGCCGGUCCUUGAAUUUUCAAAUCUGAAUCUUGAGCCUUCUUGACCUGCAACAAAUUUGUGAUAGAGAACCCUCAUUAAUAUGAGUUCUUUCGAAGCCAUGGAUCCCGAUGCGACCAAGAAAUAGCCCCACCAAAACCUCUUCACCGAAAAAAUAAUCGGGGAUUAUUUUUUUGAGUAUCUUCAGUUUUAAAUCGAAACUUUUGUCGGAAUGAAGUACUUACCUCGACUACAAACAAACAUUGUUUAGUGUAAAUGACAAUACUCAAUACAACAGUAGUAGUGUAGAAUAAAAACUCUUUUUAAUA